UGUAUGUGUAUGUAUGUGUAUGUGUGUGUAUAUAUAUAUAUAUACACACACACGCAUACGCACACACACACA